rnacentral:rRNA from 1 species
UACAGAGGGUGCAAGCGUUAAUCGGAAUUACUGGGCGUAAAGCGCGCGUAGGUGGUUCGUUAAGUUGGAUGUGAAAUCCCCCGGGCUCAACCUGGGAACUGCAUUCAAAACUGUCGAGCUAGAGUAUGGUAGAGGGUGGUGGAAUUUCCUGUGUAGCGGUGAAAUGCGUAGAUAUAGGAAGGAACACCAGUGGCGAAGGCGACCACCUGGACUGAUACUGACGCUGAGGUGCGAAAAGCGUGGGGGAGCAAACAGG